rnacentral:rRNA from 1 species
CCGCAAUGGGCGAAACUGACGGAGCGACGCCGCGUGUGCGAUGAAGGCCUUCGGGUUGUAAAGCACUUUGGUGGGGGAGGAAAGCCGAAAGGUUUGACCUAUCCCAAGAACAAGCUCGGGCUAAGUUCGUGCCAGCAGCCGCGGUAAGACGAACCGAGCGAACGUUGUUCGGAAUCACUGGGCUUAAAGGGCGCGUAGGCGGGUUCCCAAGUCUGUGGUGAAAUCCUCCAGCUUAACUGGAGAACUGCCGCGGAUACUGGGGGUCUCGAGGACGGUAGGGGCGUGCGGAACAGUAGGUGGAGCGGUGAAAUGCGUUGAUAUCUACUGGAACUCCGGUGGCGAAGGCGGCACGCUGGACCGUUUCUGACGCUGAGGCGCGAAAGCCAGGGGAGCAAACGGGAUUAGAUACCCCGGUAGUCCUGGCCCUAAACGAUGGGCACUAGAUAGCAGCCUUCACAUGGGGUUGCUGUCGGAGCAAAAGUGUUAAGUGCCCCGCCUGGGGAGUAUGGUCGCAAGGCUG